UAUAAAAUUAGCCAUAACAGUUUCCGUAGGUGAACCUGCGGAAGGAU
rnacentral:rRNA from 1 species